GAUGAACGCUGGCGGCGUGCCUAAUACAUGCAAGUCGAGCGAACAGAUGAGGAGCUUGCUCCUCUGACGUUAGCGGCGGACGGGUGAGUAACACGUGGAUAACCUACCUAUAAGACUGGGAUAACUUCGGGAAACCGGAGCUAAUACCGGAUAAUAUAUUGAACCGCAUGGUUCAAUAGUGAAAGACGGUUUUGCUGUCACUUAUAGAUGGAUCCGCGCCGCAUUAGCUAGUUGGUAAGGUAACGGCUUACCAAGGCAACGAUGCGUAGCCGACCUGAGAGGGUGAUCAGCCACACUGGAACUGAGACACGGUCCAGACUCCUACGGGAGGCAGCAGUAGGGAAUCUUCCGCAAUGGGCGAAAGCCUGACGGAGCAACGCCGCGUGAGUGAUGAAGGUCUUCGGAUCGUAAAGCUCUGUUAUUAGGGAAGAACAAAUGUGUAAGUAACUAUGCACGUCUUGACGGUACCUAAUCAGAAAGCCACGGCUAACUACGUG
rnacentral:rRNA from 1 species